GAUGAACGCUGGCGGCGUGCCUAAUACAUGCAAGUCGAGCGAACGGACGAGAGGCUUGCUUCUUUGAUGUUAGCGGCGGACGGGUGAGUAACACGUGGAUCCCCCACCUAUAAGACUGGGAUCACCACGGGAAACCGGCGCUAAUACCGGAUGAUAUUUUGAUCCGCAUGGUUAAAAAGUGAAAGCCGGUCUUGCUGUCACUUAUAGCUGGAUCCGCGCUGCAUUAGCUAGUUGGUCAGGUACCGGCGUACCAAGGUAACUAUGCAUAGCCGACCUGCGAGGGGGGUCGGCCACGUGGGAGCUGAAACAGGGUCCAUAGUCCUGCGAUAGGCAGCAGUAGAGAAUCUUCCGCAAUGGUGGAGAGCCUGACGGAGCGGCACCGCGUGAGUGAUGAAGAUCUUCCGAGCGUGAAGCUCUGUUUUUAGUGGUGAACAGAUGUGUAAGUAGCUGUGCACAUCUUGACGGUACCUGGUCAAGAAGCCACGGCUAACUACGUG
rnacentral:rRNA from 1 species